GAUGAAGAACGCAGCGAAAUGCGAUAAGUAGUGUGAAUUGCAGAAUUCAGUGAAUCAUCGAAUCUUUGAACGCACAUUGCGCCCCCUGGUAUUCCGGGGGGCAUGCCUGUCCGAGCGUCAUUGCUGCCCUCAAGCACGGCUUGUGUGUUGGGCCCCGCCCCCCGGCUCCCGGGGGGCGGGCCCGAAAGGCAGCGGCGGCACCGCGUCCGGUCCUCGAGCGUAUGGGGCUUCGUCACCCGCUCCGUAGGCCCGGCCGGCGCCCGCCGGCGACCCCCCUCAAUCUUUUCAGGUUGACCUCGGAUCAGGUAGGGAUACCCGCUGAACUUAAGCAUAUCAAUAAGCGGAGGA
rnacentral:misc_RNA from 1 species